AUGACGAAGAUGAAAAGAAAUCUAGAGAUUCAGGCUUCAGAUUCCUCAGAAAUUGCAUUGGUGAUGAAAAUGGUUGAAGAUCGAAGAGGAGAACAUUUUCGUGUAAUGGACUUGGUGACGAUGUUGAAGAGAUGUGUGAAGGAUUUAUCGCAGAGGAAGGUUACGGUGAAGAUUGAAGGUGGUUGGAGACACGGAAUCAAGUACAAGAAUUGA